GCUUGUGUUUGUCAUUUUGUUACUUCGGCAUCUGUUUUGGUCUGUCUUAAUCCGUUAAAGCUUUGUUGAACGAGUGCCAUCUUGGAGCCCCCCAUGCUUUCUUUCAAGACGAGAAAGCUUCCUUUGGCUUAGACAUGCACUUCAUCAGUAAUCAAGCUUUGUGUUCCCUUAAAAUUCUACAGCAUCAGUGAUUCCAGCGAGGGCAAAACCAAAGCUACUACCUAACUGGCUUGGUUUGGCUUUUGGGGGAGAGAAGGGAUGGUGCGAUGAUGCGAGGAAGGUUCUUCACGCAUGCAAAGAGACUGUUGCUGGCAAUCAUCCAUCAGAAGGUUCCUCAGUUCUCCAUCUAAUCCUCAUCAUCAUCAUCAUCAGCAUCGCCAAACUAAGUUUCUUUGAUGAUCCCAGUUGCUGUAUUCCACAUUAUAAUAUGCAAUGUUCAUUCCUCUUUUUUGUUUGCUUUCCUCACUCUCUUUGAACUUUGUAUUAUUAAGAUGAGCACAUGUGUGUCCAAUCACCAGCGCUAGGAUCUUUAUGUAGUUAAUUAACCUCAAUAAGAC
rnacentral:lncRNA from 1 species